rnacentral:rRNA from 1 species
AUUGAACGCUGGCGGCAGGCUUAACACAUGCAAGUCGAACGAGUGGCGGACGGGUGAGUAAUGCUUGGGAACCUAGCUUAUGGAGGGGGAUAACUACGGGAAACUGUAGCUAAUACCGCGUACCAUAGGAUGAGCCCAAGUGGGAUUAGGUAGUUGGUGGGGUAACGGCUCACCUAGGCGACGAUCCGUAGCUGGUCUGAGAGGAUGAGCAGCCAAACGGGGACUGAGACACGGCCCAGACUCCUACGGGAGGCAGCAGUGGGGAAUAUUGGACAAUGGGCGCAAGCCUGAUGCAGCCAUGCCGCGUGUAUGAUGAAGGCCUUCGGGUUGUAAAGUACUUUCGGUCGGGAAGCGUUACCGACAGAAGAAGCACCGGCUAACUCCGUGCCAGCCGCCGCGGUAAUAC